rnacentral:rRNA from 1 species
GAUGAGCGCUGGCGGCGUGCCUAAUACAUGCAAGUCGAGCGAACGGACGAGAAGCUUGCUUCUCUGAUGUUAGCUGCGGACGGGUGAGUAACACGUGGAUAACCUACCUAUAAGACUGGGAUAACUUCGGGAAACCGGAGCUAAUACCGGAUGAUAUUUUGAACCGCAUGGUUCAAAAGUGAAAGACGGUCUUGCUGUCACUUAUAGAUGGAUCCGCGCUGCAUUAGCUAGUUGGUAAGGUAACGGCUUACCAAGGCAACGAUGCAUAGCCGACCUGAGAGGGUGAUCGGCCACACUGGAACUGAGACACGGUCCAGACGCCUACGGGAGGCAGCAGUAGGGAAUCUUCCGCAAUGGGCGAAAGCCUGACGGAGCAACGCCGCGUGAGUGAUGAAGGUCUUCGGAUAGUAAAACUCUGUUAUUAGGGAAGAACAUAUGUGUAAGUAACUGUGCACAUCUUGACGGUACCUAAUCAGAAAGCCACGGCUAACUACGUG